UCUCUCUCUCUCUCUCUCUCUCUCUCUCUCUCUCUCUCUCACGAAAUCGCGAAAUAGUCUUUCUAUUCAAGCUCCGGCCGUUAUCUCUCUAUCUCGCUACCAUGUUUGUCUCACAGGCGACCUUUCGCCGAUUGGAGGGGGGGCAAGGAACAAAGAAGACACGAAGUGGAAGAAGACUAAAAUGGAUCUAUCGAGUUAGGAAGAUGAGGGUUGGACUAUUAAAUGGUUACUCAAAAAGCACUUCGGAUGAGAUUUGUUCAAAAAAUCACCUUUGACAAUCAUGGGAAGGCGGGGAGUGAAGUUACUCAUAUGGUCCUCAAAAUCCAAGUGUUUUUCCAGCCCAUAGAUUGCAAUCCCACAUUAGAGAUGGGUUUGAGUGGCUGCAGAGAAUAUACUAGGAAUUCAAUGUGGCGAAUGUCUCUAGUUUGGGUGGCUACAUAUAAUAGACUUGAAGUUGUUAUUUUGGUGUGAUUAAACCACUAAUGAAGGACUAUGUUGUUUAUAUGUAACUCUUAUCUUGUAAUUUUAUAUCUUGCAAUGUAAUGUAUAUAAUACAAAAUAAUGCAA